rnacentral:rRNA from 1 species
AUUGAACGCUGGCGGCAUGCUUUACACAUGCAAGUCGAACGGUAACAGGCCUUCGGGUGCUGACGAGUGGCGAACGGGUGAGUAAUGCAUCGGAACAUACCCAGUCGUGGGGGAUAACGUAGCGAAAGUUACGCUAAUACCGCAUACGUCCUGAGGGAGAAAGCGGGGGAUCGCAAGACCUCGCGCGAUUGGAGUGGCCGAUGUCAGAUUAGCUAGUUGGUGGGGUAAAGGCCUACCAAGGCGACGAUCUGUAGCGGGUCUGAGAGGAUGAUCCGCCACACUGGGACUGAGACACGGCCCAGACUCCUACGGGAGGCAGCAGUGGGGAAUUUUGGACAAUGGGGGCAACCCUGAUCCAGCCAUGCCGCGUGCGGGAAGAAGGCCUCGGUUGUAACGACUUCUAGCCGGAGGAAAGUACGCACGGACGUAAUAACUCUGUGUGGAGUGACGGUACCGGAACGGAAGAAGACACCGGCUAACU